GCGGAAAAUCGCAUUAAAUUUAGAAUUUAAAUACCCCUUG
rnacentral:tRNA from 1 species